AGUAACCAGCAGGUAGCCUAGUGGUUAGAGUGUCGGGCCAGUAACCAGCAGGUAGCCUAGUGGUUGGAGUGUUGGGCCAGUAACCAGCAGGUAGCCUAGUGGUUAGAGUGUUGGGCCAGUAACCAGCAGGUAGCCUAGUGGUUAGAGCGUUGGGCCAGUAACCAGCAGGUAGCCUAGUGGUUAGAGCGUUGGGCCAGUAACCAGCAGGUAGCCUAGUGAUUAGAGCGUUGGGCCAGUAACCAGCAGGUAGCCUAGUGGUUAGAGCAUUGGGCCAGUAACCAGCAGGUAGCCUAGUGGUUAGAGCGUUGGGCCAGUAACCAGCAGGUAGCCUAGUGGUUAGAGCGUUGGGCCAGUAACCAGCAGGUAGCCUAGUGGUUAGAGCGUUGGGCCAGUAACCAGCAG
ensembl:lncRNA